GCAGGAAUGGGCCAUCCUGACGCCCACGCAGAAGGCAUUGUACAAGAAAGUGAUGCUAGAGAACUAUGCAGCUGUGGCCUUCCUCGCAGCAUCACCCACUUCCAAACCAGCUCUGAUCUCUCGCCUGGAGCAAGGGAAGAAGCCGUGGUUCACUCAAGUACACUGCGCCCUGAGCAGGAGGGACCGGAGAGUAGGUCACAAGAGAUGCAGCUUUAAACUAAGAAAUCUUACUUACUUCGCUGAAAUAAUGUCACAUGCAAUAACAUUAAAAUUUCUUCAAAAUCAUCAGCACUGGGAAGACAGAAAAAAGGCUUAAUUCUUGACUUUUAAGUACCAAUUGUGCAAGUAAGAAGUCGAUUUAAGGGCCACCUUAAGUGAUGUCAAAUGUGUAUUUUCUUUUUCUGUAGACUCCUGGGUUUUCAUAUAGUUAAUGUUUUCCAACUCAUUAAAAUUGUUCUUUUUUU